UUCCAUUUCUUGGAGUUGUGGAGGUCUCGGCUGAAGAGUUAGGGAUAUGUUGAGCUUCUUGGCCGUGAGUUGUAGGGUUGCUGAGCUAUUGGAAUUGCUGUCAUACUUCAAGGAUUUUAUUUCGAGGCGAGCGUCUCGACGUGGGAUUGGAUUGUCUGACGCGGUCGACAG